rnacentral:tRNA from 1 species
UCCUCCGUGGCGCAAUGGCUAGCGCGUCUGACUGUUAAUCAGGAGGUUGGAAGUUCGAGCCUUCCCGGGGGAG